CACCCGCAGCACAAGUGGUGGUCACUUUUAUUGAGCCUAAAGCGUUCGUAGCCGGUUUUGUAAAUCUUCAAGUAAAGCCUGAAGCUUAACUCCAGAAAGCUUGAAGAGACUGCAAAACUUGAGAUCGGGUGAGGUUAAACGUACUUUCAGGGUAGGGGUAAAAUCCUGUAAUCCCGGAAGGACGACCAGUGGCGAAGGCGUUUAACUAGAACGAAUCUGACGGUGAGGAACGAAGGCUAGGGUAGCAAACCGG
rnacentral:rRNA from 1 species